UACAUUAAAAAUUAAGUACUUUUGUAUUUUCACUCAAGUAAAAUUGAAGAGGAGCACUAAAUUCUUUCACUUGAGUAAUAUUUUAUUAUAUGUAUCUGUACUUUUACUCAAGUUCUUGAAUUGUGUACUUCGUCCACCACUGCUUUAAGGGAGUAUGAACAUCAGAACUGUGUCCUACAUUACAGAUCAGAGUGAAAGAGCAACUCAAUGCUGCGUUUGCAGUUUCUGUUUUCACACUUCCUCUAUAUUCUCCAUUUUUACACCUCGUCUUGUUCGUGUAAAGACAUUCUGAGCAAAAUAAAGAAGAAAAGUGCAUCAACGUGUACUUUAUAUAACAAAAAAUGUCACUUGGAAGCUUGUUGUUGGUCUCUAGCCUAUGGUUGUGUUCAUCAGCACAGAAGCUGUUUCAGGUGAAGGUGUGAUGAAAGCAGUGGAUGAUCAAGUUUCUUUUCGUCCAGACAAAUUCAUUCCUUCUGUCACCAGCAUCAUCUGGAAACACAUAAACACUGACGGAACUGUUGUCAAGGCGAUUGAAUGGGAUGAAGGAGAUACUAUAACCCCGAAUCAGAGAUUCAAAGACAUCACAACUGUUAAUGAGAAGACUGGACAAAUCACUAUAGCUAAUUUAAAAGUUGAACAUAGUGGAGUUUAUACCAUUGACAUCAACAGUAAAGAGCAGCGACAGAGAUUCACAUUGACUGUUAUGGAGGGGGUCCCCAAACCUGUAAUAAAAAUAGAGAAGAGUAAAGAUAACCCUGAUGCUGUGAAUUUAAUAUGUGAGUACAGUGAAACGAUCAUCUGGAGGAAUUCUGCUGGAGAAACACUGAAGGGUUCAAAACACCAUCCGAAAGGAGAGAUUUUAGUGGUCAAGGAAAUGAAGGAAAUCGUGAAAACUUCUACACCUGUACACUGAAGAACGCAGUGAGUGAGGAGACCAGUGAUCCGCUCUAUGAGAGAGAUCUGUUUAAAGGUUUAAACAGGGGAUUUGUCAUUUGGAUUGUCAUCGUUUUGAUCUGCAUGGCUUUUAUCCUCCUUUUCCUGUUUAUACCAUCUUUAUACGGUUAUUGUGCUGAUGGUGAAAGUGGGAGAAGCAAGACGUCCAGAAAAUGACAGUGAUUGACUGAUGCUCAUCAUGAACCUUGUGACUCUUCAAAUGUAAAGAUCUUCUCGACACAUUUCUCUGAUCAUCGGCUCUAAAUCUCAGCUUUACUGAAUCAUCUGGAGCUCUGAACCGUCUUUUCCUUCAUAACUUUGAACAUUUGCUUUUUAACCUUUCUGGACAAGAUAAAAAUUUCUUUUUGCAGGCAUGUUGAGUGAUUGUGUAGAAAUAAAUAGCUACUAAAAAUGUGUAUUAUGUUAAAAAAAAAUAAUAAUUUAGAUGUCAAUACAUUUUGCACAAAAUGUUCUGCUUCAUUUUUCUUUUCUUUUUUUUUGUGGAGAGCAGAGAAUGUGUUUUUUUCUGUUUGUUGGACAUGAACCAAUAAAGUAAUAAACACUGAAUGCAGUGUAAAUCACUUUGAAUAAAAUGUGAAUUCAUCUUGUUAAGACAAAAUUCUAAUUCAGAAGGAGAUUUGUGUCAUUAAAGAAUGAACAUGAAUAUGAAAUUAUAUAUGGUUUAAUCAGUUUUAAAUCAUGUCCUUCAUCUCAGUUUAGUUUGUAUUAUGUAAAUUACAUAUUUACAAUUUAAAUUAAUAUAAAUACUGGUGUGGUGUGAGAAAAGAUAUGAGCUACAAACUACUGUAAAUCAGUUAUUAUAAAACAGCACACCCCAAAUAUUCACUCCAAAAUUAAAAAAUUAAAGCAGUUUAUGCAGUUCACUUUUGUUAUGCAGUGGAUAUUUUUCAUGCACUAUGUAGUGGUCGUGGUUGGUAGUCUUGCUGGACACAGACACACAUUUGAGCCAGACAUUAUCAAACAUUUGCAAUGAACGUACACAAGAUGGCAGCAGUUCUGUAAAUGCUGAACCCAAAAAACACCAAACUGAUGCCACUGCAAGAUAGGUUAAUGUUUAUGGAAAGCCGUUUUGACUUUUAUUCAUUCUCAGGAUAUGAAUUCUUGAUAUCCACAGUUCAAUUCUUGAUAUGUGUAAUUACAUUUCCACUAGUAAAAACUAUAAUUCUUGAUGUCUGUAAUUGUAUUUUCACUAAUGAAAUAUCACCAUAGACUGCCAUUCAAAUUCAAUUGUUGAUAUCAAGAAUUGAUUUCUUAUAGUUGAAAUUCCAAUUUCACAUAUCAGAAAUACAAUUAUUACUAGUAAAUAUAAUAUUUUUUGAUAAUUUUUGAAAGAUUCGAACCACUUCCUGGACCAGUCAGG